GGUGACCUUCGGAGGAACUGUUCCUGGACUGACUUCAUUUAGGUUCUGUGAACUUGCCAAGUAGCCAGCAACAAAACCCCAGAUUGGCCACUUGACCUCUCUGGUCCCAACUCUCCUAACUUACAAUAUAAUAUGAAGUUUAUUUCCUAUGUGUUUUUACCUUAGUCCCACGUUCUGUGAGACAAUCAAGGCACAAUAUUUUGUACAUCAUUUCAGCCAGCCUGUGUUGGAGGUGGCUCUGGGGUGCCUGUGACAGCAUGUGUCUGUCAGCCUUGGCAGCUGCCUCCCUUCGACAAACUCUAGGUAAAGGAAUCUGUGACGUUUUUAUUCAUCCCUGCAUCCAUGGACCUAAGCACUCAAUUAAUAUUGGAUUGAAUAAAUUACCACCAAUCAGCUCUCUGAUAGCAGCAUUUAAAUCAACACCUGAAGAGUUAAUGUUCUCUGUUUUGGCACCAAACGCCACUGGGGAAAUUCCCACAGAUAAAGCAAGUGGAGUAACCUGCCAAAGGUAAUGAAGAGUGUGGACUGGGAUAAACAUCCAAAUUUGGAUCCUGAUUCUGCCACUUAUUAGCUUUAUUUAUUUAAGCUGGAGGUAACUCACUUGCCUCACUGGGACAUUUAUUAGAUAGACAUAAUAACACCCACCUCAGAUGCCC
rnacentral:lncRNA from 1 species